rnacentral:rRNA from 1 species
GGGCAGCAUGGUCUUAGCUUGCUAAGGCCGAUGGCGACCGGCGCACGGGUGAGUAACACGUAUCCAACCUGCCGUCUACUCUUGGACAGCCUUCUGAAAGGAAGAUUAAUACAAGAUGGCAUCAUGAGUCCGCAUGUUCACAUGAUUAAAGGUAUUCCGGUAGACGAUGGGGAUGCGUUCCAUUAGAUAGUAGGCGGGGUAACGGCCCACCUAGUCUUCGAUGGAUAGGGGUUCUGAGAGGAAGGUCCCCCACAUUGGAACUGAGACACGGUCCAAACUCCUACGGGAGGCAGCAGUGAGGAAUAUUGGUCAAUGGGCGAGAGCCUGAACCAGCCAAGUAGCGUGAAGGAUGACUGCCCUAUGGGUUGUAAACUUCUUUUAUAGAGGAAUAAAGUCGGGUAUGCAUACCCGUUUGCAUGUACUUUAUGAAUAAGGAUCGGCUAACUCCGUGCCAGCAGCCGCGGUAAUACGGAGGAUCCGAGCGUUAUCCGGAUUUAUUGGGUUUAAAGGGAGCGUAGAUGGAUGUUUAAGUCAGUUGUGAAAGUUUGCGGCUCAACCGUAAAAUUGCAGUUGAUACUGGAUAUCUUGAGUGCAGUUGAGGCAGGCGGAAUUCGUGGUGUAGCGGUGAAAUGCUUAGAUAUCACGAAGAACUCCGAUUGCGAAGGCAGCCUGCUAAGCUGCAA